rnacentral:rRNA from 1 species
AUGACCCCAGGUCAGACGAGAUUACCCGCUGAAUUUAAGCAUAUCAAUAAGUGGAGGAAAUGGAACUUACAAGGAUUCCCCUAGUAACGGCGAGUGAAUCGGGAAACGGCGAGUGAAUCGGGAAGAGCCCCAGCUUGAGAAUCAGGUGCCUCUUUACAUUCGGAUUGUAGUCUGGAGAAGCGUCCUCAGCGGCAGACCGGGCCCAAGUGCCCUGCAAGGGGGCGCCAGAGAGGGUGAGAGCCUCGUUGUGCCUAGACCUGUCGCACCACGAGGCGCUGUCGGCGAGUCGGGUUGUUUGGGAAUGCAGCCCCAAUUGGGCGGUAAAUUCCGUCCAAGUCUGAAUAUGGGUGAGAGAUUGAUAGCAAACAAGUACCGCGAGGGAAAGAUAAAAAGGACUUUGAAAAGAGAGUCAAAGAUUGCUUGAAAUUAUCAGGAGGGAAGCGGAUGGGGGCCGGCGAUGCGCCCUAGUCGGAUGUGGAACGGUGUAUGCCGGUCUGCCGAUAAACUCGGGGUGUGGAUUGAUGCGGAUUGCGGCGGCGGCCCAAGCCUGGGUUGUAGUCAUGCCCGUAGAGACGUCGUUGACGUGAUCGUGGCAGGCAACACGUGCCGCAAGGCAUGCUUCGGCAUCUGUGUGCUCUUGGCAUCGGCUUGUGGGCACCCCAUUCGGCCCGUCUUGAAACACGAACGAAGGAGUCUAACAUGUAUGUGAGUCAACGGGCUAGGAAACCCGUAUGGCGCAAGGAAGCUGAUUGCUGGGAUCCCCUUGUGAGUUGCACCGCCGACCGACCUUGAUCUCUUGAGAAGGGUUUGUGUCAAAGCAUACUUGUCGGGACUCGAAAGAUGGUGAACUAUGCUUGACGUGCAAAUCGUUCAUCUGACUUGGGUAUAGGGGCGAAAGACUAAUUGAACCGUCUAGUAGCUGGUUCCCUCCGAAGUUUCCCUCAGGAUAGCUGGAGCCCACGGGCGAGUUCUAUCGGGUAAAGCCAAUGAUUAAAGGCAUCAGGGGCGCAACGCCCUCGACCUAUUCUCAAACUUUAAAUAGGUAGGACGAUGGUCAUGCCAAGGAAUCGAGAGCUCCAAGUGGGCCAUUUUUGGUAAGCAAAACUGGCGAUGCGGGAUGAACCAGAAGUCGGGUUACGGUGCCCAACUGAGCGCUAACCUAGAACCCACAAAGGGUGUUGGUCGAUUAAGACAGCAGGACGAUGGUCAUCGAAGUCGAAAUCCGCUAAGGAGUGUGUAACAACUCACCUGCCGAAUCAACUAGCCCUAAAAAUUGAUGGCGCUGAAGUGUGCGACCAAUACUCGGCCGUUGGGGCAAGUGCCAGGCCCAUCGGGGCAUGUGAACGGCUCUUGCACAUGGGUUAGUCGAUCCUAAGAGACGGGGGAUGCCCGUCCGAUAGCGUGCAGCAAGCGAGCUUUGAAAGGGAACCGGGUUAAAAUUCCUGAACAGGGACGUGGCAGCUGACGGCAAUGUUAGGGAGUCCAGAGACAUCAGUAGGGAACCUCGGGAAGAGUUAUCUUUUCUAUUUAAUAGCCUGCCCACCCUGGAAACGGCUCAGUCGGAGGUAGGGUCCAGCGGUUGGAAGAGCAUCGCACUUCGCGUGGUGUUCGGCAUUAGGUCUCCAAGGUGAACUACCUCUGGUCGAUGGAACAAUGUAGGCAUGGGAAGUCGGCAAAAUGGAUCCGUAACCUCGGGAAAAGGAUUGGCUCUAUGGGCUGGGCACGGGUGUCCCAGUCCAGAACCCGUCGGCUGUCGAUGGACUGCUCAAGCUGUCCCGCGGUGAGAGUGGGUCACCGCGUGCCAGGUGAGGGACGGACUGGGAACGAUUGCUUAGGCGGACUUCCCCGGGCGUCAAACAGUCGACUCAGAACUAGUACGGACAAGGGGAAUCUGAUUGUUUAAUUAAAACAAAGCAUUGCGGUGGUCCCUACGGAUGCUUACGCAAUGUGAUUUCUGCCCAGUGCUCUGAUUGUCAAAGUGAAGAAAUUCAACCAAGCACGGGUAAACGGCGGGAGUAACUAUGACUCUCUUAAGGUAACCAAUUGGAUUAAAGAGAUUCCCAUUGUCCCUGUCUACUAUCCAGCAAAACCACAGCCAUGGGAACGAGCUUGGCAGAAUCAGCGGGGAAAGAAGACCCUGUUGAGUUUGACUCUAGUCCAACUUUGUGAAAUGACUUGAGAGGUGUAGGAUAAGUGGGAGCCGAAUGGUGAAAGUGAAAUACCACUACUUUUAACGUUAACGUUAUUUUACUUAUUACGUGAGUCGGAGGCGGGGCAUUGCCCCUCUUUUUGGACCCAAGGUGCGUUUCGGCAGGCUGAUACGGGCGAAAUUCACCAAGUGUUGGAUUGUUCACCCGCCAAUAUGGAACGUGAGCUGGGUUUAGACGAUCGUGAGACAGGUUAGUUUUACCCUACUGAUGACAAUGUCGCAAUAGUAAUUCAACCUAGUACGAGAGGAACCGUUGAUUCGCAAAAUUGGUCAUCGCGCUUGUUUGAAAAGCCAUUGGCGCGAAGCUACCGAGUGCUGGAUUAUGAUUGAACGCCUCAAAGUCAGAAUCCGGGCUAGAAGCGACGUGUGACCCCAUCACCCGAUUAUCGACCUACAGUACGGGCGUUAGGGCCCCAAGAGGCACGUGUCAUUGGUGAAGCCCUCGCGGCGGAUGAGCCGUGUGGGUCGCCUUGAAGUACAAUUUUCAUCGAGCGGC